UUAGACGUAAACAUUGGUUGUCCCACCACCCACAACCCGCCAGAGGAUUACAAGUGAAAAACUUAAAACUCCAAGGACUUGACGGUGUCCUACCCAUACUAGAGGAGCCUGUCCUAUAAUCGAUAACCCACGCUCUACCUUACCCUCCCUUGCCAACCAACCUAUAUACCGCCGUCGCCAGCUUACAUUAUGAACGCACUACCGUAAGCAAAACCAUCUCACACAUUAAAACGACAGGUCAAGGUGUAGUUUACGGGGGGGAACGUGAUGGGCUACAUUUUCUACAAUAGAAAACACCAAUCGUACCGUGAAACCUCUACUCCAAGGCGGAUUUAGAAGUAAACUCGGCAAGCCAUGCCAACUUGAAUAAGCCCUAGGACGC
rnacentral:rRNA from 1 species